GGCUAUAUAGCUCAGCUGGUUAGAGCACGUCACUCAUAAUGACGGGGUCGGUGGUUCGAGUCCACCUAUAGCCA
rnacentral:tRNA from 1 species